rnacentral:tRNA from 1 species
UCCGAUAUGGUGUAGUGGCUAACAUUAUCGCCUCUCAUCUAGGAACGCGAUAGCCCGGGGUUCGAUUCCCCGUGUCGGAA